GCUCGAGUGGCGAACGGGUGAGUAACACGUGAGUAACCUGCCCUUGACUUUGGGAUAACUUCAGGAAACUGGGCUAAUACCGGAUAGGAGCUCCUGCUGCAUGGUGGGGGUUGGAAAGUUUCGGCGGUUGGGGAUGGACUCGCGGCUUAUCAGCUUGUUGGUGGGGUAGUGGCUUACCAAGGCUUUGACGGGUAGCCGGCCUGAGAGGGUGACCGGCCACAUUGGGACUGAGAUACGGCCCAG
rnacentral:rRNA from 1 species